rnacentral:lncRNA from 1 species
GCAGACAUUUUUGUACCACAUCUUCUCUGUUGAUGAUCAUUUCGUCUGGAAGAAUUAGCCCUUAGUGAAUAAUCCCCAGCGAGGUUUAUGGGUUAUAAGAAUCUCUCUCUCUCUCUCUCUCUCCUCUCUCUCUCCUCUCUGUCUUUUUCUCUCUCUCCUCUCUCCCCCUCUCUCUUCCCUCUCUCUUCCCUCUCUNNNNNNNNNNCCUCUCUCUUCCCUCUCUCUCCUCUCUCCCCCUCUCUCUUCCCUCUCCCUCUCCGUCCCUCCCUCUCUCUCCCCCUCUCUCUUCUCUCUCUCUCUCCCUCCUCUCUCUCUCCCCCUCUCUUUUCUCUUCUUUCUCUCUCCUUUCUCCUUUCUCUCUUCUCUCUUCUCUCUCCCUCCUCUCUCUCUCUUCUCUCUCCCACUCUCUCUUUUCUCUCUCUUUUCAUUCUCUCUCCCUCCUCUCUCUCUCCCCCCUCUCUCACCUCUCUCGUCUCUCCCUUCUCUCUUCCCUCUCUCUCUCCCUCCCUCACUCUCUCUCCCACUCUCUCUUCUCUCUCUUUUCUCUCUCUCCCUCCUCUCCCCCCCUCUCUUUUCUCUUCUUUCUCUCUCCUCUCUCCCUUCUCUCUUCCCUCUCUCCCUCCCUCCCUCACUCUCUCUCCCACUCUCUCUUCUCCCUCUCUUCUCUCUCUCUCUCCCUCCUCUCUCUCCCCUCUCUUUUCUCUUCUUUCUCUCUCCUCUCUCCCUUCUCUCUCCUCUCUCUCUCCUCUCUCUCUUCUCUCUCUCUCCCUCCCUCACUCUCUCUCCCACUCUCUCUUCUCUCCCUCCCUCCCUCACUCUGUCUCCUCUUUCUCUCUUCUCUCUCCCUCUCCAAAAAAAAAAAAAAUCUCUUUUACAAAUAGGCUGGGGGUUGAAAAAAAAAUAGCACUGAUUCCCCCUCACCAAGCCCUAGUAAAACCGUGGCAUUGUUUAAAGCAGCUCCCAGGGAACGAAGGCGUCAGGCCCUCGCAAUCUGGAACAUUGUUUAAAUACCGUAAAAAAAAAAAUCCUUGGCUCAUUUAUACCCUCUGAACCCCAGAGAGAGAAAAAAAUGGCCGUGUAAAGCCGGCUGUAGCAGGUGGCACCUGCU